rnacentral:rRNA from 1 species
UACGUAGGGUGCGAGCGUUGUCCGGAAUUACUGGGCGUAAAGAGCUCGUAGGUGGUUUGUCGCGUUGUUCGUGAAAACUUACAGCUUAACUGUGGGCGUGCGGGCGAUACGGGCAGACUGGAGUACUGCAGGGGAGACUGGAAUUCCUGGUGUAGCGGUGGAAUGCGCAGAUAUCAGGAGGAACACCGGUGGCGAAGGCGGGUCUCUGGGCAGUAACUGACGCUGAGGAGCGAGAGCGUGGGGAGCGAACAGG